rnacentral:tRNA from 1 species
AUUUAUAUAGUAUAAAAAUUAUAAUUAAUUUCCAAUUAAAAGAUCUAAGAUAAAUUUAGUAUAAAUA